rnacentral:rRNA from 1 species
UACGUAGGGUGCAGGCGUUAAUCGGAAUUACUGGGCGUAAAGCGUGCGCAGGCGGUCUUUUAAGUCAGAUGUGAAAUCCCCGGGCUUAACCUGGGAACUGCGUUUGAAACUGGAAGGCUUGAGUGUGGCAGAGGGGGGUGGAAUUCCACGUGUAGCAGUGAAAUGCGUAGAGAUGUGGAGGAACACCGAUGGCGAAGGCAGCCCCCUGGGCUAACACUGACGCUCGAUGCACGAAAGCGUGGGGAGCAAACAGG